rnacentral:rRNA from 1 species
CGGGUAGAGUAACACGUGAGCAACCUGCCCUAAAGACUGGGAUAACCCCGGGAAACCGGAGCUAAUACCGGAUGUCCUCUUCGGAUCGCAUGAUCUGAUGAGGAAAUGAAUUUCGCUUUAGGAGGGGCUCGCGGGAUAUCAGCUUGUUGGUGGGGUAACGGGCCUACCAAGGCUUCGACGUCUAGCUGGUCUGAGAGGACGAUCAGCCACACUGGGACUGAGACACGGCCCAG